UCAAGCUUGCUUGGGUGGAUCAGUGGCGAACGGGUGAGUAACACGUGAGCAACCUGCCCCGGACUCUGGAAUAAGCGCUGGAAACGGCGUCUAAUACUGGAUAUGACACCAAUCCGCAUGGGUAUGGUGUGGAAAGUUUUUCGGUCUGGGAUGGGCUCGCGGCCUAUCAGCUUGUUGGUGAGGUAAUGGCUCACCAAGGCGACGACGGGUAGCCGGCCUGAGAGGGCGACCGGCCACACUGGGACUGAGACACGGCCCAGACUCCUACGGGAGGCAGCAGUGGGGAAUAUUGCACAAUGGGCGAAAGCCUGAUGCAGCGACGCCGCGUGAGGGAUGACGGCCUUCGGGUUGUAAACCUCUUUCAGCAGGGAAGAAGCGAAAGUGACGGUACCUGCAGAAGAAGCACCGGCUAACUACGUGCCAGCAGCCGCGGUAAUACGUAGGGUGCGAGCGUUGUCCGGAAUUAUUGGGCGUAAAGAGCUUGUAGGCGGUUUGUCGCGUCUGCUGUGAAAAUCCGGGGGCUCAACCCCGGGACUUGCAGUGGGUACGGGCAGACUAGAGUGUGGUAGGGGAGACUGGAAUUCCUGGUGUAGCGGUGAAAUGCGCAGAUAUCAGGAGGAACACCGAUGGCGAAGGCAGGUCUCUGGGCCACUACUGACGCUGAGAAGCGAAAGCAUGGGGAGCGAACAGGAUUAGAUACCCUGGUAGUCCAUGCCGUAAACGUUGGGCGCUAGGUGUGGGACUCAUUCCACGAGUUCCGUGCCGCAGCUAACGCAUUAAGCGCCCCGCCUGGGGGAGUACGGCCGCAAGGCUAAAACUCAAAGGAAUUGACGGGGGCCCGCACAAGCGGCGGAGCAUGCGGAUUAAUUCGAUGCAACGCGAAGAACCUUACCAAGGCUUGACAUAUACCGGAAACAUCCAGAGAUGGGUGCCCCUUUUAGGUCGGUAUACAGGUGGUGCAUGGUUGUCGUCAGCUCGUGUCGUGAGAUGUUGGGUUAAGUCCCGCAACGAGCGCAACCCUCGUUCUAUGUUGCCAGCACGUGAUGGUGGGGACUCAUGGAAGACUGCCGGGGUCAACUCGGAGGAAGGUGGGGAUGACGUCAAAUCAUCAUGCCCCUUAUGUCUUGGGCUUCACGCAUGCUACAAUGGCCGGUACAAAGGGCUGCGAAACCGUAAGGUGGAGCGAAUCCCAAAAAACCGGUCUCAGUUCGGAUUGGGGUCUGCAACUCGACCCCAUGAAGUCGGAGUCGCUAGUAAUCGCAGAUCAGCAACGCUGCGGUGAAUACGUUCCCGGGCCUUGUACACACCGCCCGUCAAGUCACGAAAGUCGGUAACACCCGAAGCCGGUGGCCCAAC
rnacentral:rRNA from 1 species